AUUUCUCUGAGAUGUUUGCAAGCGGGCCAGUCCCCUGAGCCGAUAUUUCAUACCACAAGAAUGUGGCGCUCCGCGGUUGGUGAGCAUGCUCGGUUCGUCCGAGAAGCCUUAAAACUGUGACGACACAUUCACCUUGAACCAAGGGUUCAAGGUGAAUGUGUCGUCACAGUUUUAAGGCUUCUCGGAGAUUCC
rnacentral:other from 1 species